rnacentral:rRNA from 1 species
AUUGAACGCUGGCGGCAUGCCUUACACAUGCAAGUCGAACGGUAACAGGUCUUCGGAUGCUGACGAGUGGCGAACGGGUGAGUAAUACAUCGGAACGUGCCUAGUAGUGGGGGAUAACUACUCGAAAGAGUGGCUAAUACCGCAUGAGAUCUACGGAUGAAAGCAGGGGAUCGAAAGACCUUGUGCUACUAGAGCGGCCGAUGGCCGAUUAGGUAGUUGGUGGGAUAAAAGCUUACCAAGCCGACGAUCUGUAGCUGGUCUGAGAGGACGAUCAGCCACACGGGGACUGAGACACGGCCCAGACUCCUACGGGAGGCAGCAGUGGGGAAUUUUGGACAAUGGGCGAAAGCCUGAUCCAGCAAUGCCGCGUGCAGGAUGAAGGCCUUCGGGUUGUAAACUGCUUUUGUACGGAACGAAAAGCCCUGGGUUAAUACCCUGGGGUCAUGACGGUACCGUAAGAAUAAGCACCGGCUAACUACGUGCCAGCCGCCGCAGUAAGAC